GGCGAUUUACAUAGAUUAGGGCACUGGGAACUCAAAUGGCACAUAGAAUUUAAUAAAAAAGAAAACAAAAAAAAGGUGUGCUGUGCUUUAAAGCCAAAAUAAAAUUAUUGAGCCACACUGAUUAAGUUCAGUGCUGAAUAAUUAUACAAAGUGCGCUUUGCAAAUCGAACCUAAAAUAUAUUCAAGCCUUGGAUAACCCUCUCCUGUGUUUGAAG